rnacentral:rRNA from 1 species
UACGGAGGGAGCUAGCGUUGUUCGGAAUUACUGGGCGUAAGGCGCGCGUAGGCGGUCUUGCACGUUAGCGGUGAAAGCCCGGAGCUCAACUCCGGAACUGCCUUUAAAACUGCAUAGCUUGAAUCCGGGAGAGGUGAGUGGAAUUCCGAGUGUAGAGGUGAAAUUCGUAGAUAUUCGGAAGAACACCAGUGGCGAAGGCGGCUCACUGGACCGGUAUUGACGCUGAGGUGCGAAAGCGUGGGGAGCAAACAGG